AGUAACGCGUAGGAAUCUACCUAGUAGAGGGGGACAACAUGUGGAAACGCAUGCUAAUACCGCAUACGCCCUAAGGGGGAAAGGAGGGGACUUUUCGGAGCCUUCCGCUAUUAGAUGAGCCUGCGUAAGAUUAGCUAGUUGGUAGGGUAAAGGCCUACCAAGGCGACNAUCUUUAACUGGUCUGAGAGGAUGACCAGUCACACUGGGACUGAGACACGGCCCAGACUCCUACGGGAGGCAGCAGUGGGGAAUAUUGGACAAUGGGCGCAAGCCUGAUCCAGCCAUGCCGCGUGUGUGAAGAAGGCCUUAGGGUUGUAAAGCACUUUCAGGGGUGAGGAAGGGUAGCUAGUUAAUACCUAGUUAUUUUGACGUUAGCCCCAGAAGAAGCACCGGCUAACUCUGUGCCAGCAGCCGCGGUAAUACAGAGGGUGCAAGCGUUAAUCGGAAUUACUGGGCGUAAAGCGCGCGUAGGUGGUUUGUUAAGUCGGAUGUGAAAUCCCAGGGCUCAACCUUGGAAUGGCACCCGAUACUGGCAGGCUAGAGUAUGGUA
rnacentral:rRNA from 1 species